rnacentral:rRNA from 1 species
AUUGAACGCUGGCGGCAUGCCUUACACAUGCAAGUCGAACGGCAGCACGGGAGCAAUCCUGGUGGCGAGUGGCGAACGGGUGAGUAAUGUAUCGGAACGUACCUUUCAGUGGGGGAUAACGUAGCGAAAGUUACGCUAAUACCGCAUAUUCUGUGAGCAGGAAAGCAGGGGAUCGCAAGACCUUGCGCUGAUUGAGCGGCCGAUAUCAGAUUAGCUAGUUGGUGAGGUAAAGGCUCACCAAGGCGACGAUCUGUAGCGGGUCUGAGAGGAUGAUCCGCCACACUGGAACUGAGACACGGUCCAGACUCCUACGGGAGGCAGCAGUGGGGAAUUUUGGACAAUGGGCGCAAGCCUGAUCCAGCCAUGCCGCGUGAGUGAAGAAGGCCUUCGGGUUGUAAAGCUCUUUCGGCCGGGAAGAAAUCGCAUGGAUUAAUACUCUGUGCGGAUGACGGUACCGGCAUAAGAAGCACCGGCUAACUACGUGCCAGCCGCCGCGGUAAGAC